rnacentral:rRNA from 1 species
GACGAACGCUGGCGGCGUGCCUAAUACAUGCAAGUUGAGCGCUGAAGGUUGGUACUUGUACCAACUGGAUGAGUAGCGAACGGGUGAGUAACGCGUGGGGAAUCUGCCUUUGAGCGGGGGACAACAUUUGGAAACGAAUGCUAAUACCGCAUAAAAACUUUAAACACAAGUUUUAAGUUUGAAAGAUGCAAUUGCAUCACUCAAAGAUGAUCCCGCGUUGUAUUAGCUAGUUGGUGAGGUAAAGGCUCACCAAGGCGAUGAUACAUAGCCGACCUGAGAGGGUGAUCGGCCACAUUGGGACUGAGACACGGCCCAAACUCCUACGGGAGGCAGCAGUAGGGAAUCUUCGGCAAUGGACGAAAGUCUGACCGAGCAACGCCGCGGGAGUGAAGAAGGUUUUCGGAUCGUAAAACUCGGUUGGUAGAGAAGAACGUUGGUGAGAGUGGAAAGCUCAUCAAGUGACGGUAACUACCCAGAAAGGGACGGCUAACUACGUG